GAGGUACCCUCAAAAGAGUUUAAACCGGAAACAGGUGCAAAUCCUGUACGAGCCCGUCACCGUGAUCACGUCAUACCGCCAUAACCGAGGACCGCACUCGGAGCCAUUGGGAAACUGAGAAGGCAUGGAGGGAAUAUUCGUGUAAGCCGGGAUACCUGCCUCGAGUU
rnacentral:ncRNA from 1 species